CUGCUUAAAUACCUUUAUUAUUUUUUAAAAAUUAUUUGGACAUUGAUAGCUCUGCAAAAUAUUUCUCCCAGCCCAAACCCUCAAAACCCUUUUCACACGUCCUCCCUGAAGAAACAAAAACCCAUCCUUUUCGUCCACUCCAAUCUAAUUUUUAAAAACACAGAAGAUUCAAAAUCAAAUGUUAUUUUUCUUUCGCAGAACUUGUUAGUAAUUUUAAACCACAAUGCACAUCCUCAAUGGCAUUUCUUCUUAAAAAUUAGCUUAUCUGACUACUUUAUGAGGAAAAAAAAAUCAAUUCAAGGCCUUAGAAUAUAAAUUCCCUGUUUCUGAAAGCAAAAGACAUUGAAGAGCCCCUCUGCUCCCUGGAGUCUGUGAUGCCUCACACCACGGACGGAUCCAGCAGCCAAGGGGCCGUCUGCCUCGCACAAGGCGUUGCUUGGUUGCUUUGGGACCGCAGCUGAGACGCUGUCAGGUGAGAAGGGGCGGCGGGGGGGGAUGCCCGCGCAGGCGGGUGGCGAGGCUGGGGCUGCGGGUGGAAGCCUUCUGAGCAGAGGGGGAGCUGGGCCCUCAGGACGGGGUGGGGGAGGGCGGCCGGAAACCCGCCGUUUGCACCCGUUUCUAACGGGGAACGGGUCCAGGACAGAAGCAGCAGAUGGGGACAGCCGCCAGACUCUCUGGAACCGGCACCGGGGGAGGGCAGGGCAGGCAGGGGCUGCUCUGUGAGCUGCUAUGGGGACACGAUGCCAUCUCUUCGGCAUCCUCAACAGACAGGGUGGCACGAAAACCAGUCCUCAUCAGAGACGUGUCCCCCAAGGGCCAGCGUCCCUAGCUCAGUCCCCACGCGCAGCCUGGCCCACUGGGCGGCAGCGUGGCAGCCAUGCGUGCAGACACCCUGCCCGCCGACUGCCCACUAGAGGGCCCAGCAAGCUCCAGGGUGACCUCACCCCCACCUGAGUCCUUCAAGGACCGGGUACAACGCAGGUGGCCGUCCCUGAACUGAGGUGGCAGGAGGUCUCUGACCAGAGCCGGCCACUCUGCUGCCCUUCAGGGCUUUAAAUCAGGAAAACAUGUGACUCGCCUCUGGAGAUGCACCAGAUGCACAUCCUUCCACGGAAGCCACCAGGCUACGUUCCCGGUCCCUAGGCCCUGGCCUUUCUGGUGGGCUGGCUGCAGCUCUGCAGGGGGCCUCAGGACCACACAGCCCAGGGGUCCCGACGCCCACCCACGCCAUCCCCGAUACCUCUCCUUUAAGGCUUCGCCUGACACGCACGCUCAGGACCCUACAGUACGGUCGUCGAUCCAGGAAGUCACUUUUGAGAAUCCGAUCCCCUCCCCCCCCGACCCAGGCGCAGGGCUGUGCCUUCUCCCUCGACCACGGACACAACCCACGGACACAACGCUCGCUUGUCUUGCUCCCUGGGUCAUGACGCUGCCUCGCUGUUACAAGCUUCCCCUCUCGUGUUCCGAGCGAGUCUUGUAAACCCCACACAAUGCCAAUCCCCUGGGCCCUACCCGCACCUGCAGAGGUGGCUGAUGCCACCUUAAGCUUUCUACACAUUUAAAUAAAACAAAACCACCUUGCACACACGCGCACACACACACUUUGGCACGAGAGCCUCGCGUUCUCCGGGGGUGCGCAUGCGCGUGCUCCCGCCCCGCCCCUGCCGAGCUGAUGGUUUAGGGGCGCCCGCCCCUCCUGCCGGAUGGAGAAGGUCGCACGAAGCCCCGCUGUUUGCAGCAGAGGAGGAGGUACAAGCGCUAAACUGGCCCCAGAACGGUGCCCGUGUUUAGCGCUUUGAUUUACACCGCGCUGCAAAACUUCUGUACCAGGACGACCAGUUGCGAACUGCUGGUUGAUUAAAUAUACACUUACAUAUAGAUAUAAGUAUAAAAAUUACUAGGUCAACAUUUGCUGUUUUCAAUGUGAAAACGCUAAAAUGUAAUUCUGAAUAAUUGUGCAUUUGUCACAGGGUCCUUGUUAAAGGGACCAUAAAAAUAAUUUUGUAAUAAAAAAACCUCUUUUCUUCUUUUUUUAAAGGUUAGUAUUGCCCUCAAGUUCAAAAGUUUGGAGCAAACGUGCUGAGUAAGCAGGACUGGAAGCUGUUCCUGCCAGGGGUCGGGAAGCCUUAAACCCGGGGACCCCACGCAGGCCCGAGGAACCCGCCGGCCACCGCCCGCCUUGGCGCCAACAUCACAGGGCUGGGCAGCGCCCCGACUCCACUGGCGACCCCCUACGCCCUGCGCAGCUCUUGGGGGGGCACAUGCGCUGGGGCCCUGCCUUCUCUUGAGCUACCAGACUAAGGAACGGGGGGCAGGGGCCUGGGUGGGGGCCGCUGAGCACCAAGGCUGGGGGAGGAGGGAGGGCCGUCUCGGUGACAGAGAAGCAGCUACGCGGGGAGGAAAGUGCUCGGAAGGUCGCUUAAACACAGCCUAAGACCACACUGCCCGGCCAGGGACGGGCCGAGGCCGCGUCCGCCUGCCCGGCCGCCCGCUGCCCGGGUCUGUGGGUGCACAGUCACGCUUUCUGACGCCAGUCUGCUCGCGGGGAGACAGGACACACCUCCUGGCUCUGGCAGGUACACAAUCUUGGUGGCGAAGUGCUUUUCUGCCAAAGGUCAGUUUACUCGGCUGCUGUCCCGCCGCUGUCACCGGAACUCGUAGAUGGGCGCGCUGUGUUCGGGGACGUGCGUGAGGUUGAGCGACUGGUACCUGCGGGCAGAAGGCUCAUCUCAGGCGUCAGGCCCCCGGCUCCUUGCUUGACCCCCGAACUGCACAGGGCCCUGCUCCCGUCUGCACGCGGUGACAGGCUGUCUCGGAAAACGGGGCAGGGGGACGAAGAUGGAGCUCUGCCCUCCACACGCCCCGCUUCUCCCCGAAGCUGCGAGACCCUCGGAGCGCCCUGGGGGCCCUGGCGCAGCCCUCCCCGGGAUCCAGGGCGCUUGGAGGGACGACGACACAGCCCCUUCGCUUUCCUUCUGCCUCCCCGGACACAGGUGCUGGACCUCGGGGGCACCAGGGGCUCUCAGGGGUGUGUUCCCCCCGACAGGCGCACCAAGGAAGCAAGAAAUUGGAGGAGACACAGGCCUGCCAGUCCCCAGACGGGGCGAGAACAGGGCCACCGGUGGGGGUGACAGAGGAGCGGGGGGNNNNNNNNNNNNNNNNNNNNNNNNNNNNNNNNNNNNNNNNNNNNNNNNNNNNNNNNNNNNNNNNNNNNNNNNAGGGCCCCAGGGGGAGGACGGGGAGACAAGAGGCGGAUGGGGCCUCUGAGCGUCCCUGCUGGGAAUGUAACAGGAGCAGCUGCUGGGGCAGCAGGCGCUCACGAUUUCAGCAGGGCCACCCGUGGCCCCGCAGUUCCACCCCAGCCACGUGGCACAGAAAGCGGGGACGCAGACACUUCGCAGCCACGUCCACGGCAGCACAUUCAAAGCAGCCCCAAGGGGGGACAAGCCCCACGUCCAGCCACUGAGGAAUGGAUAAUAAGACGCGGCCGACCCACACAAUGGCAGAUUGCUCAGCCACAAAAGUGAAGUUGAGGGAGUUCCCGGGUGGCCAGUGGCGAGGACUUGGCACUCUUACCACUGCGGCCCGGGUUCAAUCCCUGGUCUGGGACCUGAGACCCCACAUCAAGCCGCCGCAUGCCACGGCCAAAGUCAAAACAUCAAAAAGAAGUGCCAAGGCCUGCGACUGGACUGGAACCUGCAGAGCGUGACGCGGAAUGAGAAGGCAGACCAGGGGGCUGCCUGGGGCGGGGGCCCCGUGUGUGAAAUGCCCUGAACGGGCACAUCUAUGCAGAGAGUAGGACUGUGGUGGCGGGGCUGGGAGGGGACCCGGAGCUGGGGUGACAGCCACGGGCACAGGUUUCCUCGCUGCUGGGGACACGCUCGGACACUGACUGGGGGGGCGGCUGCACCGCUGUUCACAGAGAAGCCCACUGGCCCGAACCCUGCACUUCAGGGAGCUGCGUGGUCUGCAAAUUUCAGCUCAACAAUCCUUAAAAGAGAUCUGAAAAGUUGUAAAGGCUCAUUUGAAAACGAAAAGCUGCUGGAACCCCAGUGCCUGCUGCUCUCACAGGGGUGGGGGCUGCACCGAGUCCACAGGCACUCGGCUGCCGAGCAGGAAGGGGGGUGAGUCGACCCCGGCGGCGUCACUCUGGAGCCACGCGAGCAGGAAACGGUUGCAAAGAGAUAAAGCGCUUCUGCGUCGAGAGAGGACAUCAGGUGUUUCACGACACGGUUCGCCCUGUGGGUAUAACGGGCACAGCCAGGAGCCAGAAGAGUCCCCGAAAAGGUGGGAAAAAAACGCCAGCCCUUGUGGCGCACGGCCGUCACCCUGGGUGGCCAUCACCCAGGGCAGGACGACAAGGCCCACGGGCUCGGUCACCAGGACGAUGUCGGAGGGAAUGUGAGCGAGAAAGUAAAAAGGCUGCUGACAGCAAAGGUCCCCGUCCAGAGCGGGACCUCC
rnacentral:lncRNA from 1 species